GCACUCGUAGCUCAGCUGGAUAGAGCAUCCGCCUUCUAAGCGGACGGUCUCAGGUUCGAAUCCUGACGAGUGCGCCA
rnacentral:tRNA from 5 species